rnacentral:lncRNA from 1 species
GAACUCCAUGAAAGAGAUGAAGAGCCAAUUUUCUAGCUCUCUCUAGGGUGUUUUUCAGUCAGUGUCUUGGUGCUGCAUUCUUGAGUGUGUGUGUGUGUUGCUGGUGUCUCAUGUUCAACAUCUUGUUGUCAGAUUGGUUGCCCCGUCUCAGGGCAGUCCUCAUUGUCAUUGGCGGUUUUCUUUGUAACAUAGUAGCUCUUCGACUGAGAAAAGAAUUGUGUGGAUUUUGUUCUUUCAACCUGUGAAAAAAGUUACCAGUGUUCUUGGCUUCUCGUUGUUGAUUUGCUAUAGUGUCACCUCAAACAAGCUCAAGUCAGUGCUUCAUGCUGAAACAUCUUAGUACAAGUUUAGGGCUUCAUGAUGAAGUAGACCGGUUAAGGUCUGAUGCUUUGGGUUACUGACAAGAAAACAUUAGUAGUGAAUAAGUAGGCAAAUCCGGGUUUAAAUUACUGUACUGUGAUAUGUUUGUGCACUCACAAAAACAUAGGGUCCUAGUGCUACUUGAAUAGCUCAUGGUAAGCAUGGCGACAUACAAAAUGCAAUUUCCCAACAUGCUUAAACAAUGAUCAAAUGUUGUUUCAUCAGAAGAUGGCAAUCGCCAAGACCAAGAACACUGACCUAGAUUAUUCCUGUUCACCCAUAGAAAAGUAUGGCCCUGCUUGAACAGCUCAUGGCAAGCAUGGCAAAAUAGAAAUUUCUGUCUUCAGAAAUCAUCAAGACCAAGAACACCACUGCAGCAGACCGUGGCAAGCAUGCACCUAUCAUGGUUUGAGAAAUGUUUGAUGCCCUGCAGAUGACAUUUUUAACUGCUACUAAACCAGUUGCCGGGCCUUAAAUGCCCACAGGAUAGAUUCCGUAAACUGACACGGUUAACCUUGUUUGACCUCCUCGGACGAAGAAGAUAGUUGUCCUGGAGGACAGACAACAUUAGCAGUAAGUAGUACAUAAUGUAGGUCAAAGAACAUUGUUGGCCCAGAAAACAAAGGCCCUAGUGAUCUAUGCACCAUAUGCUAGUAUUAGUAGCUCUUCAUUAACCUAAUCAUUAACCCCAAAAAAUGAUGCAAUGUGCUUUAAGCAGCUCCACACAAUCUCUUUUUUUCCUUUUUGUUUACCAGCACUGAAAGAAGGAAGACAGAAGAGCAGCUCACUGUCAGAGAGAAAUGCAUCAUGUCACUUUGCUAAUAGCAAAGUUUUUGAAAUGCUGGGGGCUAUCAUUUGUUGGUUAGAAGUGCAAAGUGGUGGCCCUUUUGGCACUGCUUCCACGCUGGCCCUGCCUGAACCUCCCUAUUGGCUGUUGCCACAAUCAUGCUGACUGGAUCCGGACGGACAGGAAAAUUUAGUUCUCGGAGUGGUGCUGGUUUGAAUCCCCCACUAGGGCACACUGAAAGUGCAUUGAUUGUGCUCGAUGACGACGCAGGGUUUCAGGACCAGCCACGUUCUUGGCGUCCCGUUCAGGUUCAGUCAAUCAAUGAGUGCGUCCGCUGCUUCAGCCUUGAGACAUGCCGCCUGGAUUGCAGCACGGAGGCAAAAGUUUUUGCUGAGCAAUGGUAAGUGUAGUAGUAGUAGUAGAUCAGCAAGAUGACAUACAUAUAGUCAACAACAAUCUUACGAAAUGUACUACUCGUGCAGCGGCAAAAGUGAACUCGUCACCAAAAUCAUCUUUUUUUUAUGUACUCGUUGACAUGUAGAGAACUUUAUCCGGCUGGUACAUCUUCUUCUGUCGCGGUAAAUUAUAGAGAACGUAAAGCACAAAUGCACGAUGUACAGAGUUCGGUAAGUUUUUGAAACUUGUUUCCGUUUGAAGAUGGCAUUGGCAUUGGCAGCAGUGUUUCCUCUGGGCGUCAGGAUGGCUGUGGCAGACGCAGUAAACACGCUAGGAGGGGCAGCGAAUGAGUCGAUGCUGCCACUGUAGGGAGCUCCAGGACGAAGGCUCCUCCUAUUAACCCAUCCUCAACUACGAGGCAACAGCUGACCGGUGGGGCCAACACUGAUGGUCUGAAGCAUUGCUGCCUGCCUGCAUCGAAAUCCAACUUACCGAGGCGGAAGGCACGUAGCAGUGCUCUCCUUUGGUACUUGCCGCCUGAUUAAACACAACUAUGCUAAGCAGUGGAGUGGUGCUGGUACAGUGCACAAAGCUGAGCCGGCCGCCGGAUCUUGCAACUUUUCAUGCCUGCCAGUGUCAACCCUAAAAGCAUCUUAUACGUACAAUAAACUGCGUCUUAAAUUGUCUUUGCACAGACAGCAAAAGGCUGAGAUCAGCAUCGACUCUUCGUUAAGUUGGGUAUAAGCCGUCCAUAAACCACAAAUGAACUGAAAAAUGUGAGUAGUUACUAGUUCUAGUUCUUUCCUCUAACCCUUGAAGCACAAAUAAUCCAGACGUACCUUGGGAAAUCACGUCACACACUCUAUAUGCACUUUUCGUCAUUCCGUGUGGUUUUGUGCAUUCAAAAAUGGCUUCCAGUGACGUGAGACCCCAUGCAUUUGCCCAUCAUCAUGGUUUUAGAUAGGGAUGCAACUUUUCGACCCUCACAUUCUUCUUAAUUCAACCAAAAUGAACCAAAUUUCCACAAGUCCGGGAAUCAUCAUCACUGUAAAAUUUUAGUUCAUUUAUUUGACGAGCUACUACAGGGAAUCCGGUGUCAUUCAAAAGAGCAUCCAACACUGCGUUCUUCACGCAGUCACAUAAAUACAAAGCCACACGGUAAACAUUGUAAGGGCCGAAGGCUUAAAAGGUUUGCUCCCUUGCGGACACAGGGUAACUAUUAACUGAAAGUAAGAAAUAAAGGUAAAUAUAGCCUGACCAUGUUUGGUACCAUAAAACAUGCUCCAAACACAUGAGGUGGCAGAGAAUAUAACAAAUACUUGGAUUAGUGCAUAAUCAAAUGCCUAAGAUGCUAUUGUGUUCCUAACAACGGCGAAAGCAAUAAGUCAAACCACCUCAAAACAGUACAUCAGUGUGAAUUUGCUUGCGCUGCCUUCUGGAAACCUAGAUCAUCCACAUGGCACGGAAUCAUCGCUUCCGUGACUGUGGGUACUGUACAGCUAAACCUAGUUCAUAGAAAUGCUCACCCCUUUCUCCCAGAAAGAUAAAAGACCGACUUGAUUCUAGUUUGGCAGCAACCAGUCAAAUUCAUGGCUAGUGGGGUUCACAACUUCAGGCGAGCAUGGUUAGAUCUUCAUUCCUUAUCACCUGAUUCUGAGAGUCAAAAAUCAAUGAUCUACAAGAACUCGUCAUAAUAACGGCUGGCAUAGCAAACGUACAAAUUUUCAGUCGACGUUUAUACCUGCUUGCUCGGUUGUUCCAUUUUGACUGUUGUUUGGAACAUCCUUCACGGUAGAAGAUUCUGGGGGGUCAGAAGAUAACUUUGGUCCUUCUGCCGAGGUUGAAGCAUCCAGCGCCUUGUCUGCAGCAGGAUUGCAUUGCUGCUCGAUCAUAAUCUGAAGGCACUUCCCUUGCUCCUCGAUUCUCAGCUGCAGACUUCUUUGCACCUGCGGUGCAAGCAAGGAUGGAACCAAAGUAAGGUUAAAGUUAUAAAAGGUAUUUCACACGUUACUGCCUGGUUCCUAGAGAAUUGGUGCGCUGUUAAAUGGCUUAUAUUCAACUCAGAAGUGGUAAUCGGCCGUUUACAGACCCAAAAUGUUAACUCUAAUUUUAAUUUGACAUGUAAAAAUGCAUUUAAUUUCCUACGAUGCAUAACUAAAGAUUAAAUCAAAUUCUGGGUGAAAAAUUCCAGACCCCAGAGGGAUUUCGACAAAGUGUUCCCACGACAGAACGAAAUCAUGUUCGCAGCUCAAUACUACUCUAUGGUCUAUGCAAGCAUGGGAGUGACCUGGUAAGAAUCUCAGAGAACAUAGGCACAACACAAAGCAGACAAGUUCCAAAAAAAAAAAAACAGGAUUGACCUGUAUCAUCUGUG